rnacentral:rRNA from 1 species
UACAGAGGGUGCAAGCGUUAAUCGGAAUUACUGGGCGUAAAGGGUGCGUAGGUGGUCGAGUAAGUCAGGCGUGAAAUCCUUGGGCUUAACCUGAGAACUGCGUUUGAUACUGUUCGACUCGAGUGUGGUAGAGGGUAGUGGAAUUCCCGGUGUAGCGGUGAAAUGCGUAGAUAUCGGGAGGAACAUCAGUGGCGAAGGCGGCUACCUGGACUAACACUGACACUGAGGCACGAAAGCGUGGGGAGCAAACAGG